UGCUUCCAGCCUUCUGAUUGGCACCUGACAGUGUGUAGAGUAUUAAUUAUGGUCAGAGCUUUUCAACAUGCAAUAAAAAGCCUUUUAAACCAUUCCGGUGGGAGGUGAUUAACUCUAUUAAGUGACAUUAUGGAUCUUCCUAUCUGUUGCUUUCAUAAACAUAGUUGUAGGCGGAAUGUUUUAUUAAGGGCAUAAAAAUGUCCCACAUUACAAUGCAUAAGCACAUAUUGAUGUUAUAUUUCUUUACUGUGCUGCACGCCCCAGUCCCCAACCACUCCGAAAAGAAACUACAUGUCUUAAUAAUUUAUGCUCCAAGUUUUAACCAGGAUUAUCAAUGGCAGCUUUUGAGGUUUCUCUUUUGGCAACACAAUAGAUCAUAGUAAAAAUGCACCGACAAGCGAUGUGUCCGUUUGAUUUUUUCCACCUGAAUCAGCAGCCCAAACUCCAGACACAGCAGUUUAGGGCAAGCAGCACACUGAAGAAUUUAAGUCUAAGCAUUUAAUCUGUUCUUUCCAUAAAUUUCUGCUGCUUGUGCUUUAUAAUGAUUCUACCAGAGGAAGUUUAUUUAUAUCGCAGAUUUUCAGCAUCAGCACAUUGAGAACACAAGGGCGAUCGCUCAGUCAAUAGCUUACAGCCAUGUAUAAUAUCACUCCGGAAAUCAAAAGCCCAUUUGAAGAAAAGAAGGCUCAGAUUAAAGUCACUUUAAGACAUCAAUAACUUGGAACUGGCUCUAGAGAAGUUAUAAAUAUCCAACCUGCGCAUAUGCAAAUACGCGCUCGCAGACGCGCCACCACCGCCGCGCGCCCGGGAACCUCCGGCGGCCCCUCCCCUCCCCGCGGCACGUGCCGCCGCGCGGGGGGCGGGCCCUACACGUCACUGGGGGCGGGGACUCUCCGGGGCCGAGCGCCCCAGCCCUCCCAGGCAGUCAGCCGGAGCCGGAGUCACCCGCCCGAUUUGGGGUGUGGGCUGGGCUUGAAGGCCGGCGAGGAGUAGAAACCCAGCGUUAAAACCCAAUGGACAGAAGAAACUGGCGCCUUUCUGCGUUGCUUCCCACGUGCCAGGUGCUGGGCCAAGGGGCACUUUAAUUACAUCAGCCACCCUUAGCCGUCUUUCUGACACCAUACCUGUCGUGGCAGCCCAGGGGCCCCUCCCCUGUCUCCCAUACCUGUCGUGGCAGCCCAGGGGCCCCUCCCCUGUCUCCCUCUGUUGGGAGAGUGGGUGGCGGGAGGAGAAGGAAGAGGAGGAAGCACCGGCACUUUGUAAAGCCCCACCCUGGGUGCGUGCAUCCUGCCUCCCCCUCUGAUACCCACCGAUUCCAUUAUCUCAUUUUAUCCCCGAGGCAACCCUAGGACAGAAGGUCCCCAUUUUACAGAUGAAGAAAAUGAGGUUUGGGGAGAGUAACUUGUCCUUGGCCAGAGUGGAGGCAGCAAGGCUUGAAUCAAGCUCUGCUUAAUUCAAAGCCCUGCUUUUAUAGUUUUAAACCAUCGUAGUUUGGUGCUUCCUACUUGUCCUAGCACCCUUCCUCAAGGCAGAGCAGGCCCAGGAGCCUAGAAGAGUUUGAGGCCACUUGGGAAGGUGAAGCCCAGGGCCCAAGGAGCAUCAUAAAGGAUCAUGAUGUAGACAGAGGAAGGAGAUACCAGCAAGUUGGGGCUGGGUAGAACUGGCUCAGAAGGCAAGCUGGAGGGCUGGCUGGCAGAGAUGAGCUGGGGUGAGGCCCCAGCAGGGUGGAAGGAGCCAAGGCAAAGCCCAGGGUCUGGAGCCAGCUUGGGGCCUGGGCUCUGGUCUUGAGAUGGUGAGAGGACCUCAGGCUUUCAGGAAGGGAGGGAAGGCAGGAGGGGCUCAGACCCCAGGUGGGGCUGGUGAACUCAAUGGCCACAGACCAGCGGUUGUACUAUCCUGGGCAACCCUAGAAAUUGCCAAGGCCACAAAUGGCCAAGGGCUUAUAUGGCUAAAGCUCCUGAGAUCACAAAAACCUCUCAGGAGAAAGGGGAAUCCUGCUCAUUGCCCAGGAGCAUGACAUGGCCCUGCAUAGCAUGAGGAUCCAUCAAAAAAUGAGUUACCUGCCCUCAGUGGGCAGCAAGAAGAUAAUAAGGUUAAGCCCUGCAAAAGUGUCUGGACAAGAGAGAAUGUGACAAAGGGCUGAACAUGUGAAUGAAGUUAUACAUACAUCAUCAUAGAAGCUGAUGACUGAAAGUAGAUCGCUUUCUGCAGGAUGGCUUUUGCCUAAAGAUGUCCUGUGUAGCCGCUUCUAUGUCCUUGCUCAAGAUGUCUCAUCUCCUUGGAUUCCCGCACUGUCUAUGCCCCAUAACACUGUGUGGUUUACACUUCUGUACCGUGGGCAGCAUUGAGUACUUACAGCUAUAGUCAUUCACCCAUUCAUUCAUUCACUCAUACGUUCAGCCAGUAUUUAUUGAGCACAUACAGUGUACCAGGCACUGGGGAUACAAUGACGAACAAGAAAGACCACAAGCCUUGCCUGGUGGAGCACUGGUUCUGGAGGAUGUUUGGUGACCUGCUUGUCUCCCCCUUCUCAAAGGCAGGCAUGGUUUAGCUGACUCAUGAGGGCUGGUCAGUCCUGCAGAGGUGUCCUCAGUCACGCAUUUGGCUGCUGCACUAGGUCCCAAAGCUCCCAGCAAAUGGCUAUUCAGAGCCUCAGGCCUCCUGACUCAUCAUCUCUCUUCCCUUGUUCCUCUUGCGCUGGGAGGUUGCUUUUGUUUUUUGGAGCUCCUUCCCAGGACAAGGGUCAGUGGGGGCGGGGCAGGGGGGGAUUUCUCCUCCCGAAUAGUAAGGCCAAGUCCUUGUAGGUCAGUGACCUCAUCCUGGGAGGGGGAUUAUACACUCUUAUUCUUCCUGCCCCAGUGCUAUGAGGGCUCCAAGCCAAGCCCCAAAUAGACCUUAGCAGGGCAGGGAAGCGGCCCCCUGGCAAAAGCAGAGGGGGGCUGUGCACAUGUGCGCAGGCGCUACCUGCCUGUCUGGGGCUGGGCUAUAGUUGGAGUCUGCUCAGGAGGGUCUCCUGGAUGAAUGGAACAUUCAGAGCUUGGGCUUCUCCCCUUACUGACCAGGUCAGAGGCUGGCUGGACACCUGAUCUGUCCCCAACUGCCUCCCGUCUCCAGAGGAGGAGCUGGAUUCCCGUGGGCUGGGGGCUGGGAGGACACCAGUUACCUGAGCCCCUCUCCCCUUUUUGGCUGUGAGAACUAGCUCUUGCUGGGAUGGCAUGUUGCACUUUUCUGGAACUCUGAAGGGCACUUGCAUUACUGUCUCCUGUAUUUCCUUAGGAGGGCUCUCUGGUUUCUGUGUGGCAGCUGCAGGGGGUUCCGGGGAUGGCCCUGCGCAACCCUGAUGGGGUCACACCUCACUUUCCCCAAGGAGGACAAGCUGCCUCGGCCCAGGUGCAAGCACCUUUGGGAAUCAGAAGAGAGGGAGGCCAGUGUUGGCUGAGGGAGGAGGUGGACAGGAGCUGGGGCUGACCAGAGCCACACCUUGGGUGGAGUUAGAUGUGACUUCUGUACCUGUUCUUCCACUCAGGGGGACUGUUUGCUGCUGGGCCCCCACCUGGCUGGGCUCUGGCCUAGACCCUGGCCCUGGAGUCCCCUGCUUGAGAAGAAGAGUGAGUCAUAGGAGAGAACAGUCAUGUCAGCGCUAGGCUGCCACUCGACCCUUGGGGUUCCAUGUGGUGUGGGUGUUCUGGGAAAGUUUUCUGGAGGAGGAACCUGCUAAAGGCAGGUCUGAAGAGGGGUGGGGCAUUGUGAGUAACGUGCAGAAGCUGAAGUGAGCGUGUUGUUGGGCAGGGGCCCUAAGGAGCAGGCCUGUGGGGUGGGAGGGUGGGCGAGGCUGGAGGGGUCAGCAGCCUUGAGUGACAGGUGAGGGAGCUUUGUGAGAAAUGAGGACCAUUGAAGGAUUGUGACUAAGGGAGGGCCUGGUCACACGGUGCCUUAGAAAAUUUACUUUGACAGCAGAGUGGAGAGUGGCUGCGAGAGGGUAGGCCUGCAGGCAGGAAGAGCUGAGGUGGGGGCUCCGAGGGGCCGAGCAGAGGGUGGGCGGUAGAACUGAGACCAUGUAGAGGCUGACCAGGUGGGAAGAUCACGUGAGGGCCCUGGAGGCCAGUCAGGUGGGGUGAGUCUGAGAAGAUGAGCUGACAGGCCCGAAGUCCCUGCGGGGGCUGGGGCUUUCCAGCAGUGGGCACAGCUUGGGUCUGUGCGAGGGCAUCAAGUCUGGCUGCAUGGCCACCUCCAGCGGCCUCUGUGGGGACUCCGUGUCCUUGAACUUUUGGAGCUUCUGCAUCCAGCUCCUCAUUGUCUAAACGAGGAGGUAGAGAAUCAGUGUGUGUGUGUGUGUGUGUGUGUGUGUGUGUGUAUGGUGGUGGGGGUGGGGGGGUGGCAGGAGGGUGGCUGAACUGGGCUGGAAGCCAGGCCCUUUCUGUGCCAUUACAGCAAACACAGCCUUGCUGGGCAUCCUCAGGGCCGGACCCAGAAUCUGGGACUGAGGAUAUUACAGUGCGUAUAUGGCCAAGGGCAAGGCUCCGGGGCCAGACGACCCAGUGUCCAUCCCGACACUGUCCCUGAUCAGCUGGGUAAACACGGGAAAGUUAUAUCAUGUUUCUGAGCCCAAGUGUCUCAUCUGUAGAAGGGUGGUUAGAACCAAGGCUGCUCCCCACGGCUCUUGUGAGGAUUACAUGUGUCAGUGCAUGGGCCACACUUCCAAGAGCGUCUGGAAUGUAUAUACCCUCAAUAAGUCACUUUCCAGCUUCUCAUAUUGCACAACUCCAGGGGGCGCCAUUCACCUCACACUCAUCAAGAUUUCUUUUGUUAUUGUGACAGUUUUCUGGUAGAUGGCAAGCAAGGGUCUUGAGAAAAGGGUAUCUUUUAAAAUUUCACGGAAAGUUGCUAAAUUGGCCAGCGGCGGGGGUGUUCUAAAGUCAUUCCCAGUCGAGUGGGGGAGACAGACAUGAAAAUAGACCAUCAAGAUGCUCGCUGGUGAGACGGGUGAGUGAAGUCUGCAUGCAUGCUGGGGUGAGCUGAGGAGAGGAUCUGAUCUUCCUGAGCUCCUCUGUUCCUGGCUGAGGCUGGUGCCCCAGAGUACGGACUCGAAAACUGGGGUGUUACAGAAACCCCAGCCUCACAGGUGGUCUGGGGGCUGAGAGGGCCUGGUGCCAGGCUCUCUGACUGUCCUGUCCCGACUUUAUUGCAAGAGGUACCCUGAGGCUGUAGCUCAGUUCUGAGAAACCCAAGUGCCUUCCCGCAGAAUGCAAAUGUUGAGUGCUCUCCUCUGCUUUCAAUUCUACUGUGGGAAAGGCAGGCGAGCACAAAAUAAAUAACCAGAAGACCUCUGCAAUCCGGCUCCCUUGCCCCAUGGUGAUUCCUGACUAGCUCAUAACUCACCUCCCACGUCAGACAACAAGGCAGGCCUGCAACAACUCAGCAGUCUCCUGGGGGGCCUGCUGGCCCACCUUCCCCUGCUCGCCUGGCCUCUCCAGCCCCAGGAAAACCAAGCCUGGAGCUCUGUCUAUAAAGGGGACAUGGUGGCCUGUGCUGAGCACAUGGAGGGGACUCUUAUGAGGUUUGUGCAGAGCCCUCCCCUGACUCUGCUGCCUCCUGUCCGGUCAGCAGGCCGUGAAGGCCAGACCCUGUCACCCUCCCCACCCCCACUGGGCUCAGCAAACUGUGCUGACUGGGGCAUCUUCCCCACCCUGGUGACAGGGGGUCAGGGCUGAUUCCUGAAAGGAAGGGGCUUUCCUAAUUAAGACCUUUGAAGCUCCGGCUGGGGUUACGCCCUAGUGGCACAGGCUGUUGGGUCCAGGAGAUAGAGACUCUCACCCCUGUGCGGGUCUUGGUGGGGAGUGUGGGACCCUCAACGAGGGGAAGCAGGUUAGGGGAGGAGGACUGAGACAAGGGGGCCAAAGAAAGGGAGACUGUAGGGUCUAGUUCAGAUGGUGAUGCUACUUCUCCCCAGGGCUUCUCAUGGUCAUUUACUUCAGAGGCCUGAUCAUCCCUGAGGGCUUUUGUCGGGCAGAUGAGAGGUGGUGGGGGGAGGAGGGGGAGGGAGGGAGAAGGAGGGAGGGAAAGGGGCAUGCUUCAACUUCUCUGUUCCUGUGCCUAUCAGAGCCUUGGGAGCUUGGAAGGCUCUGGAAGCAGGACACCCAACUGGCCAACCAGCUCAGAUGAGGCUGAUCUGGCUAGAGUGGGGGCCAGUCCCCUCCUACCAAGGCCAAGUCCUUCGUGCUCCAGGGGAGUCCCAGGACUCCCUCCUAGGGGAGGAGAAGAUGCCAGCCGGGCCUCUAGCUCAGUCCUCUAGGCCUCACGGAGUCCUGAGCUCCCUCCCAGAGAGGACUAGUGAAUUUUUCCUGCUCUGCUGAGCUCCUUCAAAGAUAUCAGCACAUGGUUAAUCUUCCUUCUGUUCAGAAAUGCAGAGUAAUUUGCCCGAAUGGGGGUUUCUGCAUAUUUAUACUAAUGUCUGUGUUUAAAGCUUAUGAGACAGGGAAUUGCUGAGAGAUGUCCAUUAGCAAUAUAUACAGACUGCAAUUAUUUCUUUAUGGUGUGUGGUUUGACUGCAGAAUAUUUUAUUUCAAUGGAAGUAGCAGGCUUUGCCUACUGUGUUUUCUUAUGGGCCCAAAGAAAUCAAUAGGAACAGAAGAGAAGUGAAAAGAAGCAAGAAUAAAAGGAGUGUGACCUUUUAGGAUUCUGGGAGCCUUGACUAUGCUACUCCAGGAACUGCCUCCGUCCUCGGAAUCUCAAUGCAUGCAGUUAAGUGGGGGCAAUUCCGUACGUUUAAGACUGUGGACGAAAACUUGCAAACCCUCCCUGGGACAGAGGCAAAUCUCUCAAUUCAUUCCCUCCCACCAGAGACACGCAGGGAAUGGGAGCAAGGGGGGUGUCCUCAGAGCACCCCACUUCAGAACCUCCAGCACCUCCCCCCGCCCCAUGUCCACCCCAGGACAGAAGCUCGGAAGAGAAGCACGUUUUGAUCUGAAACAAAAUAAGCUUCAAGCUUAGAGUUUCUCCGACCAAGGCUGUCUGGAAUCUGCUUGGAUUCUGGUAGAAACCCAACAUUUUCCAGGAUGUGUGUGGAAGGAUCCGGAAGACGGAAGGAUCAAGACUGUUUCAGAACCACAGAACUGGAGCAGCCAGCAUGGAGGCCAAGGAAAGAAGAGCCUUCUGGGGAGUUGCAGCGAGGGGGUGCCCAGCCUGGGAGAGUGUGGCCAAGAGGCCAGGGGAAUGCCUCUCCGCUGAGGGUCCCACCUGGUCUCACCUGGGCUCCACCUCGAUGCCCAUUCAGCUUCUCCUGGCUGCUCAGGUGACUUUUCUGUCUUGGUGCUGAGAGGGGCCUCACACCAGACCUCCACACGCUCUGGAAGAACACCUCAAUUAUCAGCCACUGGAAGGGCACCAUUGCGCCUGAGGCAGUCUCCACGCACAACUGUCUUAAAGGGCUUUUUGGCUAAGAGAGGCCAGUCUAGCUGGGCUGAGGAACGCAAAUGACUUUGUGUGACAGAUACGUCUAAACUGGAAAUGCCAUUGUCCGCCCCUUCUACUGGGGGCCCCAGUGCCUCUUGGUCUUUCCCCUUCACCCGCCCUCACUUCCCUCUUCCUCGGGUUGGUUCUUUGCACAACUGGAGCACCUCCCCAGUCCCAUAGCCGUUUCUUUCCCGCCAGCCUCUGCCAUCUCGUGGCCUCCACAGAGCCGGCUCCCAUCUGCCACCUCAACUUCCCCUCGGCAGGGAGGCACCAUUCUUUUCCGGCCUCAGAAUAGUUCCCUGAAGUCAGCGCUGACUUCUCACUGCCUUCUUGCACAGAAAUCUUUUCCAAGAGGUGCCGGGGUCCAGAAGAGGGACAGAUGGUCCCUUUCUUUUUAUAACACGGCAAGUCUUUUGAAGUGAAGAGCUAUGAACACAAGUUUUGCCUUCAGCAGAUGUUCUGUGGGCACAACAAAUACCACUUUGUGUUCUUCAGCAACUGUGAGCAGUGUUAACUGGGGAGGAGACUGAAAUUGGGCAGAGCAUCGGCGGCGCAUAUUCAGGGGGCCCAGGGGCCAUGGCGUGAAGGUCCCUGUUCAAUCUCAGUCAGGCUGACUGCAGACUUGUGUUUCUGCUCAGCCAGUUCCAGGUCUAGGCUUCCUAGAAACCGUGUCUGCUCACCUUCCCCGAGCCCAGGGACCACCCAGCUGCACUUCCACCCGUGCAGGGGCCACUUGUGAAGGGCUGACGGCCGAGCUGUGUUCGUGCGCACCUCUUCCAGCUAAUCCUGAGGCUGGGUCGAAAGCUGCAGGCUGGGGUGAAUACUAUUCGAGAUUCGUGAUUGCAUUUUAUCACUUUCUCCCUCGAGCACUACGGGGUUGUCCAGUCCCCAUGGCUGUACUAGGCUGAUCUGGGGACUUUGCAAAGGACAAGAAUGGUUGGCCAGGCAUGACAUCUGUUGAGCUCCUAAGGAGCUGAAGGCUGUCUAGAUGUCAGUAGAAGCCAGUUCCCAGGGCUCUGCCCUGGUGGCUCCUCGGGCAUCGGUGACAGGGGUACCAGGCAUCAGUUAACUACUUUGAAGUGGCUGUGCUGCUGUUUGGUGGAUUUCAAGAAUUGUGUUCAUUUAAAAGGGCAUAAGCUCAACUAAUAGACCUCAUUAACUUGAAAGAUAUAUCAUUUUUGCACGGAAUUGGCUCCUUCAUGGGAUGGCUGGCUCCAUUAACUUUAUUGCAUUGGCAAUACUUUGUAUAAGGUGUGGGAGAUGCUGCGGCAGCAAAGAAUCUCCGGGUCUGCCCGAUCCCAAGCUCCAGUGGCAUCCGUGGUGGCCGAAGCCCUGUCUGAAGUCCCUUCCGAGGGUCCAAAGUCCCUCACGGGUUUACUUGAGGAAUUAAGUCCACUCACUCACUCAUUAAGUCCAUCUGUCACACGGUACUUUUAGAGAUGAGGAAAGAAGCCAAGAGUCACCAAUUUAUGUUGAGAAAUAUCAGACACAUGAUCCUAGGAGAUGUAAGACAGCCACCGUGACCCAUCUUUAGCCCAGACAUGCUAAGUGACAAGCUAGGGAAGCUAGAAGGUGUGGUGUAGUGGGAGGGGAAUGGGUGUCACAGGCAGGAGGUUUUCAUCCUGACCCCCGUUCCCCCUCUGCCACUUACAUCUGGGCAAGCGUCUUAUCUGAGCCUUGGUUUUCCCUCUGUGAAUCCACCUCCUAGGGCAGCUGCAAGGGUUACAUAAAUGCAGAGUGAAUGUACAAUGAAUAUAAAACAUCUACUCCACGUCCUUCCGAAAGACAAGUCUGCAUCUGCUGGCACUGAUUGCCGCUCCUACUCCCCAGCUGCGCUCUCCCGAGCAACUCCUCACCUUCUCUGUUGGUGAGAAUUUACUCCUGAACAAUAACUCAUCCCCCCCUCCACCUCCUCACACCCCUUCAUACCACUACCAUGAAUAUGAGAGUGGGAUAGUGCCUUAAAGGCUAUUUAGGACCUCCCCCAUUUUGCAGGUAGGGAACUGAGGUUCAGAGGUGUCACUAAGAUUUCACACUGCCCCAGGAAACUGUCUCUAGAAAAAUCCCCUGUGAAACCAUCCCCACUCAAGUGUCCUGUGUAAUUACUUCAUCUGGUGCUAGGAGUUCUUUACCUGGAAACCUUCUCUGUCCCUGCAAACCAAAAGCCACAUGGAGACAGGACCCAUUGGGCCAAGCUGCUCUGGGUCAUGGCCAUGGGGCACACGUUGCCAGGCUGCUGUGAUCAGAGCGGUACAUCCCACAGGAGCACAGUGCUGGUGCCGGCAGCUCCACCAGGCAUGAAUGGGAGGAAGAGUAGGGACCAGACACCCACGUACAUAUGGGGGUGGGGGGCAAGUCAUAAGUGGUACCAUGUAGGCAAUGGCUCUGGGAGUGUGGUUUGACUGGGGAGGAGACAGUGUCCAGAAAGAAGAUGACAAGGACAAACUCUAACUCCAUUUGCCAACCAGACUGACACGUACCCCGUUAUGGACUGAAUUGUGCCCCCACCCCUCACCAUUUGUAUGUCGAAGCCCUACUCCCAAAGAGACUGUAUUUGGAGAUAGGGCCUCUAAGAAGUUAAAUGAGGUCAUGAGGGUGGGACUCUAAUUCAAUAUGACUCUAAUCCACAUAAGACAAGGAAGAGACACCAGGAGUGCUUGUCCAGGGAAAGGCCAUGUCACAACAAGAAGAUGGCCAUCUAUAAGCCAAGGAGAGAUGCCACACCAGAAACCCACCUUGCUGGCAGCCUGAUCUUGGACUUCCAGCCUCCAGAACUGUGAGGAAACAGAUAUCUGUUGUUUAAGUUGUCCAGUGUGUGGCGUUCUCUUAUGGAAGCCCUGACACACUAAUAUAUAGCCCAUGACGUUGGUCCCACAGGAAGUGGUGAAAAACAGAUGUGUGUUUGCCUGGGAUGUGUGUAGAUGCGGGUCUGAGACACAGAGCAAUGGCAACAUUGACAAGUCACUUGGAAGAGAGGAGGAAAAGGCAGUGAGAGGCCAGUGGGCAAAACCAGAAAGUUCACGACGCUGUGCUAGGUCAUCCAAAAGGCUCCUGGGAGAGCUAGAAAGUAAAUAGGGCAUUUUCUUGGUGAUGUACUGAUGAACACUUGGGCUUCCCUUUAAGACAUAUUAUUUUAAAGAAAGAGAGUUACACUAUGAAAAUAGGCAAUGGCAACCGUUUCAACAGAUAGCAAACUUCUGGCCAUUAUUUUUCUUUAAGCAAUGUACACAAUGUUUUCUGUUCCUCUCAUGCUUCUGUUAUUUUGACCUUUUAUGUUUCUAGGAUAGUAAGCGUGCUCUUGAAUGUAAGGUAAUUUCAACCAAAGCCAGUGUUCCGCCAUGUUUUCUCCAUAUGUGUUAUGGUUUUGGGGUGCUAUGCCCUCCCCAUCACGUGGGGACAGGCGGCAGGUGUGCCAUAGCUUUGCCAAGCACUCCUCCUUUGAAAACUCAUUCCCAACCUAAAAAACUGAAAAAUGUUAAGGAUCAGCCUGACAGGACAUGCCUUUCCUAGCAAAGACAGCACACAUUAGAUGUUUGCACAGUGAUUAGGCAACAGGAAACUUGCCACUAACCUGUCAUGAUAGGAGAGAGAAAGGUUUACAAAGAAUUUCUGGACCUCGAGGCACACCGUGAUUUCCCAGUCGGGUGUUAAUGGCCCUCAAGGGUUUCCUACCUGGAUCACAGCCCCUGAAGGCCAAGGGGGUCUUCACUUUACAAGGCCAAAGUGGCCUUCUAAGACCAGAAUGACUUGACCUUCACCAGAAUGAGUUGAACUUGCAAGACCCAAAUGGCUGACAAAAUGGACUCUUGCCCAAGAUCAGGGAUCCUUAUCCAGCCACCACUAACUGGGCAAGUAAAGCCGAGAAGCUGGAGGAAAGUCCAGGCUUCCUAAACUUUGGGUACCAAGGGGUCAGGGAAUAGACUUGGGUCCUUAAGUUUAAAUCACUAGCUGAACCUGUAUCAGAUCAGGACAGGCCCAAUGAACCAUUUGAUUAGAAGUGUCUGUGUGUGUGCGUCGCUCUAUGAUAGAAAUCAUACGAUUUCUUGAGAAAUCAUAAUUCUGUGUCACUGGCACUUAAACAUUCUUCCCUAAGAUGUGGCCUCUGUGGAACUACUUCCCUUCUGUCUCCUCCCCUCCAUCAUUCUGACUGCCUUUGAAGGCCCAGUCUACACUGACCUCUCUUUUCCAGCCCCUAUGGUUUUUACUGCUGGCUCCCCCUGGACUCCGCAAGUGGGGAUGCAGCCUUCUCUGGGGAGACCGCCAUCCCUCCCAGCACCUGCCACAGUGUCUGGAUGGAACACGGUAGGCAUCCCCACAGGGCCUCAUGUUCAGUAGGAGCAGAGAUCGAUAUGGGGCAUGGAGCUAGCACAUUCCAUAGUAUCUUUUGAGUGGGAGAAGCUAAGUGUGGGUCUCGCACAGUUGGUGACUAAUACUAUACACAUUACUUGCUCAAUCAAUGCUUGGUGGUGCAGCAGGGAAGGAGGUGACAUGACUCAAGCCCCUCAGGGGCUUCUUCAUGUCAGUGAUCUAGAACAUAGUGGUCAUCCCUGCUGGUAUCUGCGUGGGCUUGAGACUGGGGUAGCUGGUUUCCUACUGUGGGUCACUGCCACUUCCUGAAGCCCCUGGAAAGGAAAUGUUCCCUCCCUUUGCUCUAAUCUGAAGAGCCCUCUAAUUCCCAUGGUAUCUUGACUCUGCUGUCCCUGCCUGUCAACAGUUAGGGCCAGGGCAGGAUUUCCGAUCUCAAAGAUGCUCAGCAGAGGUUUGGGGCUGAAAGUCCAUAUGCUAUUUCCAGCUCUGUGUACUCAGCUCAGUGAGGAGGGGGCCCCCAUGCACCUUGCUCUAACUGUGUCCUGUUGAGCAGAGCGUCUCUGAGAGGAUUGUACUAAGGCUGGGGUCCUGGGGUCACCUCCUGCUCCGAGAAUGACAUGGUCUCUGGGUGGUCUAGCGGCCUUUGCUGCAUCUUUCCACUUGCCUGGUUCACUCAUCAUCAAAUGAUCCGUUAAUACAACAGUUAAGCCCUGGACAACCCUCCAAUUAAUGAUUAACAAACCUCAGGAGGAUAGAGCCCUGUGAAGGGGAGGAGGGCUUUCUGAGGCAGGGCUGGGGCAGGUACCGCCCAAGCGAGGAGGAAAGACCUCGUGUAGACAAAGUGUCAAAUUCCACAGGCUCUGAGACACAUAAUUUUUGAGUGAGGGUGUGUGUGUUGGGGUGGGGGGCAGCCUAGAAAGGGGAAAAAUUGGGUUGAGGGUCAUGUCAAUCAGAUCUGGGAGAUUAUUUUGAGCAACCUUGUUUUAGAAACAAUGGCGGGCCUGAGCUAAAGGUGUGCCAGACAAUGUUUUUCCUCCAGGAUUCUUUACAGUAGUGCUGGUAAUAACAACAGCUAGCAUAAAUGUGGGUUUACUAUGCGCCAGGCACUGUGUUAAGACUUUGCAUACAUUAUUAAGUCCUUAAAACACGUCUGUGAAGAUGGCACUAUGAUUAUCUCCAUGUUACCGAUAAGGAAACUGAGGCUCAGAGACAGCAGUGUUCUAGCACAGUUUCACUGUGGGUUAGUGGUAGUGGAGUUGGAACUCUACCUGAGCAGUCUGGUGCAGAACCCGGGCUCCUGGCCACCCUCCACGCUGCUAGCCAUGUGCUCGUAACCCACUCCCUCCCUUGCAUCCCUCCUUGGUUGGUCUGCGGGAGUGACAUAAUUCUGUUUGUCCCACCUACUGAUCUGGCCCUGGAGGAGGACCCAUGCUGGGAGUCUGGCACCCUGAUAUCAAGCUGAGUCUCGCAGGAUGCUGAGAUCCCCUGAGGGCAGACAGGAGAAGCCCUCAGAAGACAGACAGCUCCUGGAAUUAGGGGGAAGGUGUCAGCAACAGCCCGGUUCCUUCUGGUUGUUAUGGCAAUGUGGAGGGCUGUAAAAUGUUACAUCGCAGGAAGGCAGUUUCUUCUGUCCAAAGUGGACCCCUAGGAACUAGGUGCUUCAGACAUCACAGUGUUGACGCAAUCUGCCAAGACUCCCAAGGCAACCUGGUCUUUGGCUUUCUCACGUUACUCUGGGCGCCUAAAAGGCCACAGCACUGAAGAGUGGUCCUGGCACCAGCAGUGAAGAUAAUAGGAGCAAAGACUUUCACAGUGAUUACGACAUGCUAGGCGCUAUUCACAAGGGCUUUAUGUAAAAUAACUCAAUCCUCACAACAACUUCAAGAAGGAUGUUCUAUUAUUAUCCCCUUUUAUAGAUGAGGAAACUGAGGCAGAGUUUCAGAUCGCAUUUGCUCUGGGGCAAGCAUCUGGGUGGAGGUGCUGGGGCGCAGGAGGAACUUUGAAAUAGAUGGUCUUACGUUCCCAGCAGUGUGGGACAGGUAUGGGGGCAGUGACUGGUUGCAGAAUGAACUCUCACAGCGGCACUUUCCUGUGUGCUGGGGUAACCAACCUGCAUUCACCACACAGAGGGAGGAGGCAGCUGGUGAGAAGUCAGAACCUCAGUGCUGACUUGCAGCCCAGUGCUCUGUGCCUUCUUUCAUCUAACCCUUCUUAAGCGUCUCUCGGCACCAGGCACUGGCUGGGAUACUGGGGGUGGGACGGGAAUGGGAGGGAUUCUUGCGGCCCCCACCCCAGUGCCCGGCAGUCUAGCUGGCAGAAUGAUGCAGGAGCAGGGUAACUGUUGCAGGCACGCGGCCAAGCCCAGAGCACAGCUGGAAGGGAGACAACCCUGGGCUUAGAGUGACUUCGGGGCAGCCUGUGAGCGGAACGGCAGAGAUGAAGCGACUGAAGAACACUAAAGACCCCGAUGCUUUAUGGAGGAAGCUCUCUGUGAGGCGGCAGCACGGGCUGAGGCACCUGCUGGUCCGGGGGCUGGGAACCUCCACCCUGCGACAAGACUCACAGGGCCUCUGGGUCGUGCUCUGCCGGCUUGGAGGAGAACCAGUUACACAUCGCCACAGAGCCGCCCCCGGGGGCCCUGCUCUGUUUAGGGGAAGGAGUGCACGGUGCAAAGAUGCUUGGUAGAGGGGGUUGGGGGGCACCAUGGGCUCACCAGGCGGUUCACCCACGAGGCUGUGACUGCCCAGAGGGGCUACUUUCUGCUCAUUUGUCCACCCAGAGAAAGUACCUUUUUCUACUUUGCACAAAGGUGCCAUGUAAGUGAGCAGCAUCCCAGGUGGUCAGGAAGGUUUGAAAGAUGAUGGGAUGGAGCUCGCCCGGGGCCCUCACAUGCCCGCUUGUUCUUGGACCCACGUGUUGUGCACACGACAGUCGCAGUCUCUGCACACUGCCUUGCGGGUGAGGUGUACUGACCCUGUACUGGCGAGCCAGCUCCGCGAGAACACGCACCCGGCACAGCGCUCGGCCUGUCGUGGGGCCCAGGGAGUGAAUGAAGAGGCCGUGUCUCUGAGCUACGGUGCUGGCCAAUAAUAGGAGCAUCCGGUACUGUUGCAAGGGCUACAUGAGUGCACGGAGUGUGCUCCGGAAGAGCGAGCCACAUCACGGAACAGAGAUGUGAAAGGGCUCCGUGCACUUGGGAAGCGUGAAUCAAUGAGUUCCCCUUACUGGGGAGAUGAGGUUCCAGACCGUGGGGCCUUGGGUGUCGGGCCCCCCAAUGCCAUUGGCUUGAAUGCUGCCACGGGCUGCUCGGAGGCUUAGUGCCUGCCUCCCCUGGCUCCCUCCCACGUGCCUGAGUGCGGUGCAAGUACUGAGGUUGGUGCCUCCCUCUGUGGGGCUGGGGGAUUGCCUGGAGAAGCCAGGGCUCAGCCCCUUCCUCUCUGCGCCCAAAGAGGUCAGAAGAGGGUGAAUCAAUGGACUCUGGGAGUCAGGGAGUGCUUCCCGGAGGAAGGGAGCUGGCACUGCGCCACAAAAGCCAGGCAGAUUCACUAAAGGAGAUGGAUUCGGGCCAAAGUCGCCACCAAGGACCUUACAGCAACUAGCAUAUUUCCAGCCUGGAUACAUUUGACAGAGCCAGGCUCCAGAGUCCACUUCGGGGUUCAAGUGGCCUCCUCUGGGGGGACUGACCAUGCCACCACCCAUGUCCAUCUCCUGCAGACUGGAACCUGCGAGCCUUGACACUCUUGUCACUUGUGUGGUGCUGAUGGGGCUGGCAGGGACGGCCUUCUGCUGAGCGUCACUGAGCACAGCUGGCCCCAUCCCUCACAGCAGCGAGCCUCCUCCCCUCAAGGGAGCCCGGAGUCCCCCAGCCCUCAUCUCACCAGUGUCCACUGGUGCUCCUGGCCUAGAGUGAUAGCCAAGCUUAGCCCCUGCCCUCGAGACAUCUACACCAGCAGGAUGGGGUAGGUCUGCACCAGGGACCCAUGAGGACGACAUAGGCUGGGAGAGUGGCCGCAAGGAACACACCCAAGAUGCUACGACACUAUGCCAGCUGGGGGCCAAGCCUUUUAAGGGAUUCUCAGCCUCUUCCUGGGUCUCUCGGAUCCCCUGGUCAGACGAAUACCACCACGUGACUCUAGUCAACACCACGGAAGCAGCAGAUGAUCCGGCCAAGACCUCUCAGAGUUUCUGUGCACAAAUUUGUGAGAUACUAUGAACCAUCGUUUAAAGCCACUGCAGGGCGGUGGGGGUGGGGGUGUGUGGAAACAUACACGGUCUACUGUGUAUAUUGCAAAAUAGCAAAAGACCAAAAAGUCAUCUGUGUGUUGCUGUUGACAUACAUAUGCAUAUGUAUCCUCUGUGUUCCAGAGAGGAUGCUCCCAGCAAGACUACAGUGGGGACUGUAAUUGCAUACAUGCUGAAGCUAAAGCUGGGGUAGCCUCUCCCCAGGCACACUCCGGGCUGGGUGGUGGGGGGAGGGGGCCUUGGGUGAAACCGACAAGCCACAGGGAGGACAACAGGGUGGGCAACCUGGGGCUGACUGUGCUCUGAGCUUGAUCUACAGCCUUGUUUUGCCUCAUGACUCCCCAUAAUUUCCUGAUUUGGAAAAGACAAGCUCUGCUGUGGCUCCCUGAGAACCACUGGUCUGGAUUUUGGGGGCCCCUUUCUGCCAAAGCACUGCGGACCUGGCCUGAGUCCCUCAGCGGGCCUCUGGCGUCUUCUCUGGCUGCCUGGCACCUCUGCCACACCCCCAUCUUGAGGUGGGAGCUGGAAGACUUGCUCUGCCAGCUUCCCUUGCAGCUCCAUUUCCAGGUGUGUGCCCUGCUGCUCAGACACUCUGGGGUGAGGUUCCCGUCCGGAAGCUGGGCGACGUGAGGAAGCCAGCACGGCUCCAUGCUCCACAGAGGCUGGUGGCAGAGACCCACGGAUUUGGGAGCACACAGAUGAUAGAGGCUCUGGUGUCCCAGGCACAGCAUCAGCCGUGGAAGCUGUCAUCUCCUUUCCCUUCUUACUCUGGAGGAUGCUCAGGGCAGGAGUCGGUUCCCACACGGCUCCCAGCAGAAGUGAAGUUGCACCUCUGAUCACCAGGCCCUGGGCCGCCAUGGGGAAUCACAGUGGCUCUAGGACUGCACACGGCAGGGCAGGCCACUCGCUGCAAGGACUGGGUGUCUCACUUCCUUUUCAGGCAUCAGUCCCCCCACAUGGCACUGAGGCUUUGCAUGGUGUUGCGUCCACCUGUGGGGACUGACUCCCUGGGGCUCUUGCAUCACAAAGGUGAGGCCCUAUGAAGGCAAGUUUUACUUGAAGAAUGGUGUUCCAAUGUUGGAAAUCCAGUUUUGGGAAGAAGCCAUUUUGGCGUCUGGGGUUUUUAGACUAUAGCUCGUGCGUUUCUAGCUAGACUGUUGGCAUUCUAGGACCAUUCUAGGUUGUCAGCAAGAGGACUGGUUCCAAGAUCACACAGGUAGAGCGUUGACCACGUCUAACAUAGGGGUUCUCCAACGUGAGUGCGUGUGUGGGUUAGGAAUGCGGGUUUCUGGACCCACCCCAGAGCUUUUGAUUCGGUAGGUCUGGGACAGGGGGCCCCUAAAGGUGGUGGUUUGACAAGCGUAUCAGGUGAUGUAGGAGUUCCACCGACCCCACUCUGGCAAGCGAUGACAGUCUUGAUAUUCAAGUUUGCAGGCCUCUGUGCCCGAACGUGGGGAAACUUAGGGGCUGGAAACUGCCAGGCGGGUCCUGAAUGGGACAGAUUUUGAGGUCCUGCUCAUGUGCCUCAUGGGAGCUGGCUAUUUGGUGACACUGUCUUCAUGGACCCCUGGUCCCAGCCUAGGUUUCAAGGGGUCAGAAGGACAUUUUGUCAGAUGCUAAAGCUAUAAAUCUGUGGCCUCUGGGAAGAGCAAAUGACAUUUAUGGGUCUCUCAGUUCUUCAUUUCAUGAUUGCUACUGAACUACAUACGAGAAUAAUCACAGUCAAAUCCCCACUUGGGGCUGGGGGAUGCUCUCCGGAGCCCCUCCUGCUCUCAUGAAUGAGGCUGCCCUCUCUGGCCCCCUGGACCCCGGCCGGCGCCCUCGGCCUCCCCUUCAGAGCACCACCAUAAUGUGCUCCGGGGACCGCUGAAAUUUCUAAUAAUACUAACCAAUGAUGUGUUAAAUUGAGACACUUCUGGCUCGAAUGCCGGAAACUGCAUGAUGGUUUAAAGGACCAGUGCUUACCUUUCUCUAUCAAUUUGCUGCUAAAUUACUGCUUUCGGAGCAACUUACAGAAAAGUAAUUCUUUAUUUAAAUUUUAAUUUCAAUCUUGUCAUUUUAAAUAUAUAUUCAGAUUCCAAUCAUA